UAAUGUCUGGGAAACUGCCUGAUGGUAGGGGGAUAACUACUGGAAGCGGUAGCUAAUACCGCAUAACGUCUUCGGACCAAAGAGGGGGACCUUCGGGCCUCUUGCCAUCAGAUGUGCCCAGAUGGGAUUAGCUAGUAGGUGGGGUAAUGGCUCACCUAGGCGACGAUCCCUAGCUGGUCUGAGAGGAUGACCAGCCACACUGGAACUGAGACACGGUCCAGACUCCUACGGGAGGCAGCAGUGGGGAAUAUUGCACAAUGGGCGCAAGCCUGAUGCAGCCAUGCCGCGUGUAUGAAGAAGGCCUUCGGGUUGUAAAGUACUUUCAGCGAGGAGGAAGGCAUUGUGGUUAAUAACCGCAGUGAUUGACGUUACUCGCAGAAGAAGCACCGGCUAACUCCGUGCCAGCAGCCGCGGUAAUACGGAGGGUGCAAGCGUUAAUCGGAAUUACUGGGCGUAAAGCGCACGCAGGCGGUCUGUCAAGUCGGAUGUGAAAUCCCCGGGCUCAACCUGGGAACUGCAUUCGAAACUGGCAGGCUAGAGUCUUGUAGAGGGGGGUAGAAUUCCAGGUGUAGCGGUGAAAUGCGUAGAGAUCUGGAGGAAUACCGGUGGCGAAGGCGGCCCCCUGGACAAAGACUGACGCUCAGGUGCGAAAGCGUGGGGAGCAAACAGGAUUAGAUACCCCUGGUAGUCCACGCCGUAAACGAUGUCGACUUGG
rnacentral:rRNA from 1 species